UGCUGUAUACUGCUGAUAAAAUGCAACAUUGACGGCAACAGCAACACGGUUAGUUAAAAUAGAAAGCAUUUUACCUGCAGUGUACUUCAAAAAGGAAAGUUCAUAAUGUAUCAUUUCCUUCGGGACUGCUUUCAAGGUGAUGGAUUCUAGUAGUCUGAGGUGAAGGAAUGGAUUUCCAACUUGAGUUUUUGGAGACCGAAGUGAAAAUGACGUUAUCCUCUUGACUACUGGACAGCACUACAUGGGUCACUCCUGAGGAAUGUCUACCCUUGGACUAGUGAAAACAGCUAAUGUAAGACAGGU